AGUGCAGGGAAGAGGCAUGCAUGUCCACAGCUUCUGUCAGCCGGACUCCCUGAAGGCUGCAGCCCCUGCAGCCCCCACCGCAAGCUGGAUCCGGGAUCUGCACAUCGGGAGCCUUUGGAGCCCGGCAGAGACGGUCCUGCUGCAGGCGAUUAUGCAAAGUGACUAGUGAUUGCUUUCCUUUUCAAAGACAACCCCUUUGGAAAAAGCUUUCUCCUUUGAAGACUCCAGGGAAAUGGGGGAUGGGUGGGAAC
rnacentral:lncRNA from 1 species